rnacentral:lncRNA from 1 species
AGACAGGCUGGUGCGAAAGCUCUGACCAGCAGGGCCAUAUGCUCCCCCUCCCCUACCUAAAACCCCAAAUAAAAACCCUUCCUUUUAGCUUUUCGGGGAGUUUGGGAUUUGAGCGUUAGCUGCCCUCUCUCCUUGCUCAGCGCUGUGCAAACGAUAAAAGUCCUACUUUCUUCCACCACACCUGGUGUCAGAGAUUGGUUUGCUGCGCAACGGUUCAAGUUCUACAGUAUCACAUCAUCAGUGCCCCAGGAGCCUCAGAUGGAGAGCUUUUUUCCUUUGUAUUGCUGUCCUCUGCUGGACAUUACGACACUCACAGAGCCAUAAAGUGACCCAUACAUUGUGACCCUCCCCUCCCACAACCUCCUAAACCAGAGACAAUCAACAGCUUUGGAGCAUCUGCUGAGGGAGGCAGGCAGCGCGGCAGGAAGAGUCCUGCUCUGGAGAAACAAGAGACUCAAGGUCUGGUCUGGACUUGCUGCUAACUCAG